UGCUGCAAAUGCCAAGGAGACGAAGGGGCGCCCUUUCCCCUUCGUCUUCCUCAGCCUUCCUAUAAAAGGAGCGUCCAAGUGGAGAUCAAAGGGGAGGUGAGCAGAAGCUUCACGAAGGUGAUCUGAGAGGGCAAAGGAUUGGAGGUGAUCGUGUGCGAGCAAAGGGUCCAGAGGCUAUGAUUUGGCUUGUGAAUCUUGAAGCGCUUUCCGGUUGCUCCGUGAUCGUGCUUCCGACAGCAGCAACCUCUUCAUCGACCGCCGACGUUUUCAGUUGCAACUUCGGGAGAUCACUGUGAGUGAUUAUAAUUACCAUUAUGCUUCGUUUUAGAUUUCAUGCUUUCUGGUCCAACCAUCGAGAAUGGAGCUGAUUGUGUCAUUAAGGUGGGAGGGAUCUAGAGUAAUCACUGUCGUGCUACUGCUGUUGCUGCUAGAUAUCUAAAUCUUGAUUGCUAUCUGAUACUACGCAAUUCCAAGGCUCUAGCGGAGAAGGAUCCAGGCUUGGUUGGCAAUCUCCUUGUCGAACGAUUAGUUGGUGCUCAUAUUGAUCUUGUGUCCAAGGAGGAAUAUGCUAAGAUAGGCAGUGUGGUUAGUUCUCUUCUGCAUGCAAUUCUGCCUAUUUGAGAGAAAUUUGCACGAGCUAGCUCCCAAUGGAUUGUAAAUGAUCAUGGUUAAAUAUGUUGGCUUAGAAUCGAUAAAUAGUACACCCAAGACACACACUAAUAUGCAAGAGGAAUAGAGUGAGGAGGAAGAUAAUUGAUAAAAUACUUUCUUAGAAGAUGGAAAAAUGAAUUGAUUCAUUACACAUCUCUAGGACCCUUUAAAUACACCACAAACCUAUGACUAAUUCCUAUAUUUUAUUCCAUGAAAAUAGGAAGACUAAUUCCACUCAUUUAUCCCUUAAAAUUAGGAAAGCUUAUCACCACUAACGCAAGGAAAAAAAAUAAAAAAAAAAUAAAACCACGUAGCCACUACUUAUCAUGUCCGGAUUAUAUGCUCACAUUAUCCCUCCUAAUCCUGACAUGAUUCUAAGUCACGGACGUCGAGUAGUUAUCGCAUGGCAGCUAGCUUCUUUGGCCCCGCGCCAAAGCAUGUUUGCACACCAAGUGCUCGGCCCCAACUCGAUCUCUUCGGCACCACGAACAAGUCUCGUCUGUUAGUUCUCUUGGCGCCACGGGCAAGUCCGUCUGCACGCACAUUCGUUGCCACAAACAAGUCCCGUAUGUCUGCUCCUUUGGCAACAUGAGCAAGUCCAUCUGCUCGCACAACGGACAAGUCCAUCUGUCCGCCUUUGCUGCUUGGCAUAUGUUGCAUAUCUGCCAUGCCCGCUUCGGUGCCAAGUUCACCUCCUGCAAACUUGGGCUUGGAACGUGCCCAACGCACUGCCAAUCCUCUGCUUGGUAUGGCUUGCACCCAUUCCACACUUGCUGGUUUGCCAAGUCUUCCUCCUGUAAGACUUGGGCUUGGGCAGCCCUGCACUGCCGCUCUGCUUGGCAUGCCUUCCGCACAUGCCCGACUCGGAUAUAUGCCAAGCCUGCCUCCUGCAGACUUGCACAUGGACAGUGCCCCGCGCACUUCCGGUUCGUUGCUUUGCAUGUUCCCUAGUCAGGUUGGGUCUUCUAGUCUUGCUGGGAGACACACUUGCUUGAAUAUCUUCAAGGUUAUCUUGUACAAGCGAUUCUGUGUUCGCUUUACCAGCAUCAAGAUCUUCCCGCUCCUAUCAAUCACCUUCAUGGUAUCUCUUUUCAUGUGCACCUCGUUCCCAGUUUCUGUCAAUUGACCGAGACUUAUGAUAUUACUACAAAGUUUCGGAAUGUAGUAUACCUCGUGGAGAGCCUUCCGAUCGCCGUUCUUGCAUUUGAACACAAUCGUCCCUUUGCCCAUGAUCUCAAUGGUUGAUCCAUCACCAAACCUCACCCUCCCGGUGAUGGUUUCAUCUAGUUCUUGAAACUUCUCGCGAUGGCCAGUCAUGUGGUUGUUGGCACCGUUGUCAAGGUACCAGACGUCUUUAUCUCCUUUAUUAACGCCGCGGUACAUCUCCAGUAGCAACCUAUCUUCACUAAGCAGAAUGGUAUCCUGCCGCUCACAUCUAGUGUUAGACUUCUCGUGGGACACGGUCAUCAUCAGUGUUGGCUCUUCAUCGGUGGCGCAAGUGAGGUGAGCCUCAUCAUCACGCCGCUUGUUGUAGCAUUCGGAUGCAUAAUGCCCUAUUUUCUCACAAUUGAAACACUUUAUAUGUCUCUUAUCACGAGUGCCUCUGCCGUUGCCGCUAGUGCCUCCUGCACUGUCUUGACUCGGCGUACCACGACCACGACUGCGCCAUUUGCCAUACUAGGGCUGCUGGAUCCACGCCCCUUUCCUCCUGACGAAGUGUCCAUGUUGCUCCCCUUUUGUCGCAUUUGCCAUUCGGCAUGAGUAAGUAGGAGCUCUCCUUCAGUGUCGUUUGUGUUGCCGCGUAAUCGUAAUGUUCGUUCCUCGUACGUCUUCAGUCGCCCAAUAGUCUCCUCAAAUGGUAUCGUCUCAAGAUCGUGAAACUUCUCAAUACCGGCAACAAUAGGGAAGAACUUAUCAGGGACAGAAUCGAGUAACUUCUUUACCAAAGAUGAAUCUUCAAGCGUGACACCAAGAGCGGAGAACUUGCUGCUCAUAGCACUAAGUUUGCCAGCAAACUCAUCAAUCGUGUCGGUCUCCGUCAUCCGGAGGGCGUCAAACUCGCUCUUCAACGUUUAUACGCGUGCCUUCUUCACUCGAUCACUUCCAAGGUACCUCGUCUUGAGGCUGUCCCAGACUUCCUUCGCCGUCUUUUUUUUUGCGAUCUGGAGAAGUAUGUCUUCGGGGACACACUUCAAGAUGUAUGCACGUGCCUUUUUAUCCUUCUUUGCAUCCACCUGGGCUCCUUCUACUGGCUCCACCGCCUCCCAGACUCCCUGGGCAUCAAAGAUCGCCUCUGUCUUUAUUGCCCACACAGUAUAAUUGUGAGGGCUUAGCAUCGGAUAGAGAAAUGACACUCCGCCGUUUUCCUUUACAACAACUUGUGGGAUGCCAGACAUUUUUGUGAAAUCGUGGAUUCUUGGGUGUUCUAUACUGCCAAGGCUCUGAUACCAAAUGUUGGCUUAGAAUCGAUAAAUAGCACACCCAAGGCACAUACUAAUAUGCAAGAGGAAUAGAGUGAGGAGGAAGAUAAUUGAUAAAAUACUUUCUUAGAAGAUGGAAAAAUGAAUUGGUUCAUUACACAUCUCUAGGACCCUUUAAAUACACCACAAACCUAUGACAAAUUCCUAUAUUUUAUCCCAUGAAAAUAGGAAGACUAAUUCCUAUAUUUUAUCCCAUGAAAAUAGGAAGACUAAUUCCACUCAUUUAUCCCUUAAAACUAGGAAAAUUUAUCACCACUAACGCAAGGAAAAAAAAUAAAACCACGUAGUCACUACUUAUCAUACCCGGAUUAUAUGCUCACAAAAUACUCACUUAAUGACAGUGUAAACGUAAACACUUUACUGAAGGUCUAGUACUUUGACCAAUCCUUUUUACCUUACAAUCGCCAUUUUGUUGGUGAUUUUGCAUCAACUUGCACAUUCCAAGCAACGGAGUAACUCCAAACUUAGAAUUAUGCUUUUCUUGCUAAUUUGAAAGUUAUCAAAGUAAAUGAUCCUUAUUGUUGGAUACGACUUAAUUUUAUUAUUCUAUCAGAGUAGAGUGUGGCAAACUAAACAUGAACUUUCCCCCUUAGAACUCCUACUUACUAAUGAAGACUUGUUUGACAUGUAGAUUGUUGAUUAACUCGUGAAGUGUACCGGUGUAGAUGAUUUAUUAUGGAUGAAACUCUUGCUGACUUGCUAAAGAAGAAGCUAAUGAAGGAAGGGAGAAAUCCAUAUGUUAUUCCUCUUGGUGGAUCAAACUCUUUGGGGAUUUGGGGCUAUAUUGAAGCAAUAAGUGAGAUUGAGCAGCAAAUUCAAAGCAAUUGUGGUGGACCUCAAUUUGAUGACAUUGUUGUUGCAUGUGGCAGUGGCGGAACAAUGGCUGGACUUUCUCUGGGAUCAAAACUGAGUAACUUGAAGGCAAAAGUUCAUGCAUUUUCUGUAUGGGACGAUCCCAAUUAUUUCUACAACUUUGUUCAAGGUCUGAUUGAUGGUCUUGGAGCUCGUUCUGAUGCACAUGAUUUAGUUGAAAUUCAGGAUGAGUUUAAGGUUUCUUGAUCAACAAUUCAUUUUGUUGAUGAACUGUUUUUAUUAUCUCAAUAUUAAUAUUCAAUGCUUUCUUGAUAGCAACUUGAAGCUAUGACUUAUAUAGUUGUAAGUCAUAAUUAUGACAUUUGGAAACUUAUCCUAACAUAUUCUAUA